rnacentral:rRNA from 1 species
AUGGAUUCCGGCGAUGCACCUGAACGGAUUCGCGAGGAAACGGGUUCUCGGAGCAGAGACGGCCUGCCUCAGCGUGACGCGACUGGAGCAGGUCCAGAUGCUAAUCGCCAUGGGGGAGACCGCGUCCUUGCCAAGCGCCUGAAGGAUGAAUCGCCUGACACAUCGGAGCCGCCGCCGUCACGGCUGAAGAAGGCUGUGGAGCUGGAGCCUCACCCCGCUCAGAACAGAGACGAGCAGUUCGUCUGGCCCUGGAUGGGAGUGCUGGUCAAUGUGCCUACCGAGUGGAAAGGAGGGCGCCAGGUCGGGGAAAGUGGGAACCGCCUGAAGGAGCAGCUCUCGGCCUUUUGCCCGCACAAGGUCAGUCCUUUGUGGAACCAUAGAGGCCACACCGGGAACGCCAUCGUUGAGUUUGGAAAAGACUAUGCUUCUUUCUGCAACGCAUUCAAGUUUGAGAACCACUUUGAGGCAGAAGGAUAUGGCAAGCGGGACUGGGAGCAGCACAAGUAUCGAGGGCCCGAGAUGUUUGGAUGGGUUGCAAGGGCUGAUGAUCACAGAGCCCCGGGACCGGUCGGGGAGCAUCUGCAGAAAAACGGUGAUCUGAAAACCGUUGCAGAACUUGAGAAUGAAGGAACACGCAAAACCGACAAGCUGGUAGCUAAUUUAGCCAGCGCAAUUGAGGUAAAGACCAAGCAUGCCCAAGAACUUGAAUGCAAGUACAAUGAGACGACUACCUCACUUGACAAGGUGAUGGAAGAAAAGGAGCUGGUCCUCCAGAGAUAUAAUGAUGAAAUCCGCAAUAUGCAGCAAAUCGCUCGUAGGCAUUCGCAGAUGAUCCUUAAUGAGAAUCAGAAACUUCGUUCGGAACUGGAGGCCAAGAUGCAGGAUCUUGAAUUCAAAUCCAGGCAGCUUGAUGAGCUUGCUGUGCGUAGUGACUCGGAUAGAAGGAACCUUGAGAAAGAGAAGGAGAAGAGGGAGAAAAAGGCUGCUCUAGAUGAGAUUAUCAAGUUAGAGCAGAAACUGGAUGCCAAACAGAAGCUUGAGCUAGAAAUAAAACAGUUGCAGGGAAAAUUGGAAGUGAUGAAGCAUAUGCCAGGUGAAGAAGACUCUGAAUCAAAGAGAAAAAUAGAUGAACUUAGUGCCGAGCUUCAGGACAAGUAUGAUGAAAUGGAUGCAGUGGAAGCACUCCACCACACUCUGCUUAUGAAGGAAAGGAUAAGCAACGAUGAGUUGCAAGAUGCUCGGAAGAAGCUAAUAGAUGGUCUGCGGGAUGUUACAACUGCCCGAGCAACUGUAGGCGUUAAAAGAAUGGGUGAUCUUGAUCUGAAAUCAUUUGCUAAGGCUUGCAAAGGUAAAAUGUCAGAAGAAGAUGCAGAAGUAACUGCUUCCAUUCUUUGUUCAAAGUGGGAAGAGGAGAUUAAAAAUCCAGAAUGGCACCCUUUUAAAGUUAUCAUGGUCGAGGGCAGAGAGAAGGAAAUUCUCCGUGAGGAUGAUGAGAAGCUGCAGGAACUCAAAGAAGAGCAUGGUGGGGAAGUCUAUGGGUUGGUGACAAAGGCUUUGCUUGAAGUGAAUGAGUACAACCCUAGCGGCCGCUAUUCUGUGCCGGAGCUGUGGAACCACAAAGAGAAUAGGAAGGCAACCCUGAAAGAAGUGGUCCAGUACGUGCUGAGGCAGUGGCGCACACAGAAGCGGAAGCGCUGA